UACGGAGGGGGCUAGCGUUGUUCGGAAUUACUGGGCGUAAAGCGCGCGUAGGCGGACCUGCAAGUCGGGGGUGAAAGCCCGAGGCUCAACCUCGGAACUGCCUUCGAUACUGCGGGUCUCGAGUCCGGGAGAGGUGAGUGGAAUUCCUAGUGUAGAGGUGAAAUUCGUAGAUAUUAGGAAGAACACCGGUGGCGAAGGCGGCAUCCUGGACCGGCAUUGACGCUGAGGCGCGAAAGCCAGGGGAGCAAACGGG
rnacentral:rRNA from 1 species